rnacentral:rRNA from 1 species
UUAGAGUUUAAUCCGGGCUCAGGACGAACGCUGGCGGCGUGCAUAACACAUGCAAGUCGAGCGAAUGAAGUUCCUUCGGGAACGGAUUUAGCGGCGGACGGGUGAGUAACACGUGGGCAACCUGCCUCAUAGAGGGGAAUAGCCUUCCGAAAGGGAGAUUAAUACCGCAUAAGAUUGUAGUACCGCAUGGUACAGCAAUUAAAGGAGCAAUCCGCUGAUAGAUGGGCUUGCGUCUGAUUAGAUAGUUGGUGGGGUAACGGCCUACCAAGUCGACGAUCAGUAGCCGGACUGAGAGGUUGAACGGCCACAUUGGGACUGAGAUACGGCCCAGACUCCUACGGGAGGCAGCAGUCGGGAAUAUUGCGCAAUGGAGGAAACCCUGAUGCAGCAACGCCGCGUGAGUGAUGACGGCCUUCGGGUUGUAAAGCUCUGUCUUCAGGGACGAUAAUGACGGUACCUGAGGAGGAAGCCACGGCUAACUACGUGCCAGCAGCCGCGGUAAUACGUAGGUGGCGAGCGUUGUCCGGAUUUACUGGGCGUAAAGGGAGCGUAGGCGGAUUUUUAAGUGAGAUGUGAAAUACUCGGGCUUAACCUGAGUGCUGCAUUUCAAACUGGAAGUCUAGAGUGCAGGAGAGGAGAAGGGAAUUCCUAGUGUAGCGGUGAAAUGCGUAGAGAUUAGGAAGAACACCAGUGGCGAAGGCGCUUCUCUGGACUGUAACUGACGCUGAGGCUCGAAAGCGUGGGGAGCAAACAGGAUUAGAUACCCUGGUAGUCCACGCCGUAAACGAUGAGUGCUAGGUGUCGGG